rnacentral:rRNA from 1 species
UGGCCCUUACGACCAGGGCUACACACGUGCUACAAUGGCGCAUACAAAGAGAAGCGACCUCGCGAGAGCAAGCGGACCUCAUAAAGUGCGUCGUAGUCCGGAUUGGAGUCUGCAACUCGACUCCAUGAAGUCGGAAUCGCUAGUAAUCGUGGAUCAGAAUGCCACGGUGAAUACGUUCCCGGGCCUUGUACACACCGCCCGUCACACCAUGGGAGUGGGUUGCAAAAGAAGUAGGUAGCUUAACCUUCGGGAGGGCGCUUACCACUUUGUGAUUCAUGACUGGGGUGAAGUCGUAACAAGGUAACCGUAGGGGAACCUGCGGUUGGAUCACCUCCUUA